ACUAAUUUAAAAACAACCAUAGAUUAAUCAAAAUCGCUCAACCCUCUUCUAUCUCUACAAAGUCAAAGUCAAGUUCCCCAAAAACUCCGGUGAAUCUGCCGGCAUCAUUUGAGCACCGGUGGAAGGUUGUACAAGUCCCGAAGGAUUACCGAGGUGUGGAGAUCGAAGACCGAGUCACAAGUUAGAUUGUACGGGAAUGCUUGGAUAGCUAAUUUAGUAAACAUAGUUUAUGUUUUUAUUUUGUAAAUGGGUUCGAUUGUUGUAUUCAUUGUAAAUGUGUCACCUUAAGAAUGAACUUCAAGUAUGAUAAGACAUUCAUAAUGAAAGAAAUUUUAUGGUA